AAUUUGGACCAAGGGGAGAAACUCAGCCACACAUACCGCGCGUAUGAGAAAGACGCUCGGGUUGUGAAAAACACUUGGCGGAGAGGAAAAAGUAUCCCCUAUUACGCGAGACUCCUGACGGUAUCUGCAGAGUAAGCACCGGCGCACUACACGCCCGCAGCCGCGGUAAUACGUAGGGUGCAAGCGUUAAUCGGAAUUACUGGGCGUAAAGCGUGUGUAGGCGGUUCGGAAAGAAAGAUGUGAAAUCCCAGGGCUCAACCUUGGAACUGCAUUUUUAACUGCCGAGCUAGAGUAUGUCAGAGGGGGGUAGGAUUCCACGUGUAGCAGUGAAAUGCGUAGAUAUGUGGAGGAAUACCGAUGGCGAAGGCAGCCCCCUGGGAUAAUACUGACGCUCAGACACGAAAGCGUGGGGAGCAAACAGG
rnacentral:rRNA from 1 species